UUCUUGUGCAAACCUCGGGGU
rnacentral:piRNA from 1 species